ensembl:rRNA 5S_rRNA 5S ribosomal RNA
GUCUGCGGCCACACCACCCUGAACACGCCCCAUCUCGUCUGGUCUCGGAAGCUAAGCAGGGUCGGGCCCGGUCAGUACUUGGAAGGGAGAAAGGAAAAGAAGAUGGGACCACAGGAA